rnacentral:rRNA from 1 species
GAUGAACGCUGGCGGCGUGCUUAACACAUGCAAGUCGAACGAUUAAAGCCCCUUCGGGGGUGUAUAGAGUGGCGAACGGGUGAGUAACACGUGAGCAACCUACCUUCUGUUCUGGGAUAACUCGAGGAAACUCAAGCUAAUACCGGAUAUUCCAUCUGCUCCGCAUGGUGCGGUUGGGAAAGCGUAUACGACAGAAGAUGGGCUCGCGUCCCAUUAGCUAGUUGGUAGGGUAACGGCCUACCAAGGCGAUGAUGGGUAGCCGGGUUGAGAGACCGACCGGCCACAUUGGGACUGAGACACGGCCCAAACUCCUACGGGAGGCAGCAGUGGGGAAUUUUGCGCAAUGGGCGAAAGCCUGACGCAGCAACGCCGCGUGCGGGAUGAAGGCCUUCGGGUUGUAAACCGCUUUCAGUAGGGAAGAUUAUGACGGUACCUACAGAAGAAGCUCCGGCUAACUACGUGCCAGCCGCCGCGGUAAAAC